rnacentral:rRNA from 1 species
AGAGUUUGAUCCUGGCUCAGGAUGAACGCUAGCUACAGGCUUAACACAUGCAAGUCGAGGGGCAGCAUGGUCUUAGCUUGCUAAGGCCGAUGGCGACCGGCGCACGGGUGAGUAACACGUAUCCAACCUGCCGUCUACUCUUGGACAGCCUUCUGAAAGGAAGAUUAAUACAAGAUGGCAUCAUGAGUCCACAUGUUCACAUGAUUAAAGGUAUUCCGGUAGACGAUGGGGAUGCGUUCCAUUAGAUAGUAGGCGGGGUAACGGCCCACCUAGUCUUCGAUGGAUAGGGGUUCUGAGAGGAAGGUCCCCCACAUUGGAACUGAGACACGGUCCAAACUCCUACGGGAGGCAGCGGUGAGGAAUAUUGGUCAAUGGGCGAGAGCCUGAACCAGCCAAGUAGCGUGAAGGAUGACUGCCCUAUGGGUUGUAAACUUCUUUUAUAAAGGAAUAAAGUCGGGUAUGGAUACCCGUUUGCAUGUACUUUAUGAAUAAGGAUCGGCUAACUCCGUGCCAGCAGCCGCGGUAAUACGGAGGAUCCGAGCGUUAUCCGGAUUUAUUGGGUUUAAAGGGAGCGUAGAUGGAUGUUUAAGUCAGUUGUGAAAGUUUGCGGCUCAACCGUAAAAUUGCAGUUGAUACUGGAUAUCUUGAGUGCAGUUGAGGCAGGCGGAAUUCGUGGUGUAGCGGUGAAAUGCUUAGAUAUCACGAAGAACUCCGAUUGCGAAGGCAGCCUGCUAAGCUGCAACUGACAUUGAGGCUCGAAAGUGUGGGUAUCAAACAGGAUUAGAUACCCUGGUAGUCCACACGGUAAACGAUGAAUACUCGCUGUUUGCGAUAUACGGCAAGCGGCCAAGCGAAAGCGUUAAGUAUUCCACCUGGGGAGUACGCCGGCAACGGUGAAACUCAAAGGAAUUGACGGGGGCCCGCACAAGCGGAGGAACAUGUGGUUUAAUUCGAUGAUACGCGAGGAACCUUACCCGGGCUUAAAUUGCAAAUGAAUUAUGGGGAAACCCAUAGGCCGUAAGGCAUUUGUGAAGGUGCUGCAUGGUUGUCGUCAGCUCGUGCCGUGAGGUGUCGGCUUAAGUGCCAUAACGAGCGCAACCCUUGUUGUCAGUUACUAACAGGUCAUGCUGAGGACUCUGACAAGACUGCCAUCGUAAGAUGUGAGGAAGGUGGGGAUGACGUCAAAUCAGCACGGCCCUUACGUCCGGGGCUACACACGUGUUACAAUGGGGGGUACAGAGGGCCGCUACCACGCGAGUGGAUGCCAAUCCCAAAAACCUUUCUCAGUUCGGAUCGAAGUCUGCAACCCGACUUCGUGAAGCUGGAUUCGCUAGUAAUCGCGCAUCAGCCAUGGCGCGGUGAAUACGUUCCCGGGCCUUGCACACACCGCCCGUCAAG